rnacentral:rRNA from 1 species
UGGGGAAUAUUGGACAAUGGGCGCAAGCCUGAUCCAGCCAUGCCGCGUGAGUGAUGAAGGCCCUAGGGUUGUAAAGCUCUUUCACCGGUGAAGAUAAUGACGGUAACCGGAGAAGAAGCCCCGGCUAACUUCGUGCCAGCAGCCGCGGUAAUACGAAGGGGGCUAGCGUUGUUCGGAUUUACUGGGCGUAAAGCGCACGUAGGCGGACUUUUAAGUCAGGGGUGAAAUCCCGGGGCUCAACCCCGGAACUGCCUUUGAUACUGGAAGUCUUGAGUAUGGUAGAGGUGGGUGGAAUUCCGAGUGUAGAGGUGAAAUUCGUAGAUAUUCGGAGGAACACCAGUGGCGAAGGCGGCUCACUGGACCAUUACUGACGCUGAGGUGCGAAAGCGUGGGAGCAAACAGG